rnacentral:rRNA from 1 species
AGAGUUUGAUCAUGGCUCAGAGCGAACGCUGGCGGCAGGCUUAACACAUGCAAGUCGAACGGGCAUAGCAAUAUGUCAGUGGCAGACGGGUGAGUAACGCGUGGGAACAUACCUCUUGGUUCGGAACAACACAGGGAAACUUGUGCUAAUACCGGAUAAGCCCUUACGGGGAAAGAUUUAUCGCCGAGAGAUUGGCCCGCGUCUGAUUAGCUAGUUGGUGUGGUAAAAGCGCACCAAGGCGACGAUCAGUAGCUGGUCUGAGAGGAUGAUCAGCCACAUUGGGACUGAGACACGGCCCAAACUCCUACGGGAGGCAGCAGUGGGGAAUAUUGGACAAUGGGCGCAAGCCUGAUCCAGCCAUGCCGCGUGAGUGAUGAAGGCCCUAGGGUUGUAAAGCUCUUUUGUGCGGGAAGAUAAUGACGGUACCGCAAGAAUAAGCCCCGGCUAACUUCGUGCCAGCAGCCGCGGUAAUACGAAGGGGGCUAGCGUUGCUCGGAAUCACUGGGCGUAAAGGGUGCGUAGGCGGGUUUUUAAGUCAGAGGUGAAAUCCUGGAGCUCAACUCCAGAACUGCCUUUGAUACUGAAAGUCUUGAGUAUGGGAGAGGUGAGUGGAACUGCGAGUGUAGAGGUGAAAUUCGUAGAUAUUCGCAAGAACACCAGUGGCGAAGGCGGCUCACUGGCCCAUUACUGACGCUGAGGCACGAAAGCGUGGGGAGCAAACAGGAUUAGAUACCCUGGUAGUCCACGCCGUAAACGAUGAAUGCCAGCCGUUAGUGGGUUUACUCACUAGUGGCGCAGCUAACGCUUUAAGCAUUCCGCCUGGGGAGUACGGUCGCAAGAUUAAAACUCAAAGGAAUUGACGG